UACGAAGGGGGCUAGCGGUUGCUCGGAAUCGACUGGGACGUAAAGGGUGCGUAGGCGGGUUUUUAAGUCAGGGGUGAAAUCCUGGAGCUCAACUCCAAGAACUGGCCUUUGACUGACUGAAGAUGCUCGAGUCCGGGAGAGGUGAGUGGAACUGCGAGUGUAGAGGUGAAAUUCGUAGAUAUUCGCAAGAACACCAGUGGCGAAGGCGGACUCGCUGGCCCGGUACUGACGCUGAGGCACGAAAGCGUGGGGAGCAAACAGGGAUUAAGAAACCCUAG
rnacentral:rRNA from 1 species